AAUAAACACAAAUAAAAUUUAUUAUUUAAAGUUAAAAUUUAGAUUAUAAUAUAUAAUUAAAUUUUUUAGGUUAAAUUUUAAAUUUAAAAAAUUAUUAAAAAUUAGAUAAUUUUAAGCUUGAAAAUUUUUUUAAUAAACUAGGAUUAGAUACCCUAUUAUAAAAAAUGUAAAUAUAAAAAAUAGAGUAGUAAUAGUUAUAUUCUUAAAACUUAAUAAAUUUGGCGGUAUUUUAAUCUAGUCAGAGGAACUUGUUUUAUAAUUGAUAAUCCUCGUUAAAUCUUACUUAAGCUAUUAGUUUGUAUACCAUCGUCAUAAGAAUCUCUUAAAAAAGAAAAAAUUUUCUAAAAAAUUAAUUAGUUAAAAUGUCAGAUCAAGGUGCAGCUUAUGCUUAAGAAAAAAUGAGUUACAAUAAAAUUAUUUAUAUGAAUUUUAAAAUGAAUAUUUUAAAUGAAAGUGGAUUUGAUAGUAAAAUAAAUAAAAAAGUUUAUUUGAUUAUAGUUCUAAAAUAUGCACAUAUCGCCCGUCGCUCUCGUUAUUUAAAAUGAG
rnacentral:rRNA from 1 species